rnacentral:rRNA from 1 species
CCAAUAGCGUAUAUUAAAGUUGUUGCAGUUAAAAAGCUCGUAGUUGAAUUUCGGGGUUAGUAGGUUGGUCAUGCCUCUGGUAUGUACUGGUCUCACUGAUUCCUCCUUCCUGAUGAACCUUAAUGCCAUUAAUUUGGUGUUUUGGGGAAUUUGGACUGUUACUUUGAAAAAAUUAGAGUGUUUAAAGCAAGCUAACGCUUGAAUACAUUAGCAUGGAAUAAUGAAAUAGGACGUUCGAUCCUAUUUUGUUGGUUUCUAGGAUUGACGUAAUGAUUAAUAGGGAUAGUUGGGGGCAUUAGUAUUCAAUUGUCAGAGGUGAAAUUCUUGGAUUUAUUGAAGACUAACUACUGCGAAAGCAUUUGCCAAGGAUGUUUUCAUUAAUCAAGAACGAAAGUUAAGGGAUCGAAGACGAUCAGAUACCGUCGUAGUCUUAACCAUAAACUAUGCCGACUAGGGAUCGGAUGAUGUUAAUUUUUUAAUGACUCAUUCGGCGCCUUACG